GAUGAACGCUGGCGGCGUGCCUAAUACAUGCAAGUCGAGCGAACAGACGAGGAGCUUGCUCCUCUGACGUUAGCGGCGGACGGGUGAGUAACACGUGGAUAACCUACCUAUAAGACUGGUAUAACUUCGGGAAACCGGAGCUAAUACCGGAUAAUAUAUUGAACCGCAUGGUUCAAUAGUGAAAGACGGUUUUGCUGUCACUUAUAGAUGGAUCCGCGCCGCAUUAGCUAGUUGGUAAGGUAACGGCUUACCAAGGAAACGAUGCGUAGCCGACCUGAGAGGGUGAUCGGCCACACUGGAACUGAGACACGGUCCAGACUCCUACGGGAGGCAGCAGUAGGGAAUCUUCCGCAAUGGGCGAAAGCCUGACGGAGCAACGCCGCGUGAGUGAUGAAGGUCUUCGGAUCGUAAAACUCUGUUAUUAGGGAAGAACAAAUGUGUAAGUAACUAUGCACGUCUUGACGGUACCUAAUCAGAAAGCCACGGCUAACUACGUG
rnacentral:rRNA from 1 species